rnacentral:rRNA from 1 species
GUGCCAGCAGCCGCGGUAAUACGGAGGGUGCAAGCGUUAAUCGGAAUUACUGGGCGUAAAGCGCACGUAGGUGGUUUGGUAAGUUGGAUGUGAAAGCCCUGGGCUCAACCUGGGAACUGCAUUCAAAACUGCCGGACUCGAGUACGAUAGAGGGGGGUAGAAUUUCAGGUGUAGCGGUGAAAUGCGUAGAUAUCUGAAGGAAUACCGGUGGCGAAGGCGGCCCCCUGGAUUGAUACUGACACUGAGGUGCGAAAGCGUGGGUAGCAAACAGGAUUAGAUACCCUGGUAGUCCACGCCGUAAACGAUGUCAACUAGCCGUUGGAGAACUUGAUUCUUUAGUGGCGCAGCUAACGCGAUAAGUUGACCGCCUGGGGAGUACGGCCGCAAGGUUGAAACUCAAAUGAAUUGACGGGGGUUUAUACAAGUGGUGGAACAUGUUGUUUAAUGCGAUAAUACGCGCGAAACCUUACCAAUUUUUGAAGAUAUCUUUAAAAUACUUGUUUAAUAAUUUUUAAAAUUAAAAAACAAAGAUCUACCAGGUGCUGCAUGGCUGUCGUCAGUUCGUGCCGUGAGGUGUUUGGUUCAUUCCAUUUACGAGCGAAACUCUUGUUUUAUAUUGGUACAUUGCAGCAAAGUAAUACAACUUAUAGAAGAUUGCCUAUUGAGUAGAAAUUUUGGUAGGAGGAAGUUUAGAGAAUGAAGUCAAGUCUUUAUGGCCCUCAUAGAUUGGGCCACAAACGUGUUACAUUUAUAAUUACAAAGAGUUCUGCAAAAUAGCGAUUUAAAGUUAAUCUGAAAAAAUUAUAGUGUUCGGAUUAUUUGGCUGAAAUUCGUCUAUAUGAAGCAGGAAUCACAAGUAAUCAUAAAUCAGCACGUUUUGGUGAAUAUGUGCCUUGAUCUUGCACACACCGCCCGUCACAUGCUAGGAGUUUAUUUGGUUUAAAGCUACGUUCUUGUAUUGCCUCUAAUUGAAAGUUCUGUAACAUGUUAUUUCGAUUGUUUUAAUGUGACUAAUAGUUAAUUUCGAAUGUGUGACUGGGAUGAAGUCGUAACAAGGGUAACC